rnacentral:rRNA from 1 species
AUGAACGCUGGCGGCGUGCCUAAUACAUGCACGUCGAGCGAACAGACGAGGAGCUUGCUCCUCUGACGUUAGCGGCGGACGGGUGAGUAACACGUGGAUAACCUACCUAUAAGACUGGGAUAACUUCGGGAAACCGGAGCUAAUACCGGAUAAUAUAUUGAACCGCAUGGUUCAAUAGUGAAAGACGGUUUUGCUGUCACUUAUAGAUGGAUCCGCGCCGCAUUAGCUAGUUGGUAAGGUAACGGCUUACCAAGGCAACGAUGCGUAGCCGACCUGAGAGGGUGAUCGGCCACACUGGAACUGAGACACGGUCCAGACUCCUACGGGAGGCAGCAGUAGGGAAUCUUCCGCAAUGGGCGAAAGCCUGACGGAGCAACGCCGCGUGAGUGAUGAAGGUCUUCGGAUCGUAAAACUCUGUUAUUAGGGAAGAACAAAUGUGUAAGUAACUAUGCACGUCUUGACGGUACCUAAUCAGAGAGCCACGGCUAACUACGUG